GUGUUGUUGCUGGGCAGAAUUGACAUUUUGCUUUAAAAUCGGUUGGGCGAUUUAAUAUUAAUAAACUUGGUUAUUAAAACAAAAAAUUACAUCUUUAAUCGAGUAUUCUAUAAGGAAAACAUCGGGUUUGUGUGCAUGAGUAAAAGUAUAUUUCUGGUUUUCCUGCUUCCUUUUUGCACAGGUCUUCAGUCCAAAGGAUGGAGAGCAAAACACUAAAGUGUCACUUAUAGGCCAAGACUUAACCUACUGUGUUGAGUGAAAGGAUGGAGUAUCAGCUUUACACCAAGGUUCAGGUCUUACAGUCCAAAGGAUGGAGAGCAAAACACUAAAGUGUCACCUACAAGCACGCCUACUGUGUUGAGUGAAAGGAUGGAGUAUCAGCUUAACACCAAGUUUCAGCACGUCCAAUAUGCCACAUUGCAUCACGCUUCCUCUCCACCAAUGCUGAUCCUUGCUCUGAUUGAGGAGAACGAAGCCAACACACGUAUGCAUCUUAUCACCUACACUUUGACGAGUGCAGUGCAGCUCAGCUCUGUGUACCGAGAGACACACCCUGAAAACACUCUCAUCUCUAUGCAGGCACCAUCAAUCAGCCAGCAGAGAGAGAGCAGAGAGACCCCAUCCGGCUUAGUCCUGCCCAUAUCUGAACAACAGACCAAUCGUUGUUCAUAUGGCCGCUCAGCCUAGCCGGCAGGCAGAGCUGAGAUUUUAUAUGUAUAGCACUUUUUACAAUGGACUUUGUCUCAAAUCAACUUUACAGACUCCAGGACCAACAGACCAAAAACCCCUGUACAGCAGGGGCGAGGGCAACAGUGGCAGGAAAAACUUCCUUAAAAAUACAGGAAUACUUGAGAGGAACCAGACUCAGCAGGGACCCCCGUCCUCCUUGGGUGGCCUGGAGGAUCAUUUGAAUAAAUAUAAUUUACACAGAGUUCUUCAUGAUUCAGUCCAGUCUGUGAUAAAGUCUGUAGUGAGUUCGGGACAUUUUCGGUGCAAACACGCCAGGUUUCCGUCACAUCUAGCAGGAGCAGACCUUUUUAUACAGUAACAAGAAAACUAGCAGUAAACGUCCUUGACAAAAACGUUUGUUCCAAUCAUUCAAACGAAAGAACAGUGCUGAAAAUCCCAAGACAUUUAUGUAUGUUUACAUCCAGUUCCUGAAUGUUUUGUGGUGUGACUUCUUUAAAUCAGUUGUUUGGAAUGCUAUGAGGUUAUGCUAUGAUGAGUUCCUCCAUUUCUUCAUCAAACAAGUGUGAAAUGACAAAUUCCCUAACUGUGUUGAACUGGAGAUUCAAAAUUGUCCACGACUGUGUUUGAUGUUAAACUUGAACUGAUGAAUCUUGUGUAAUGAGUAACUACCGUUCCUGUCAUGAAUGUAACCAAAGAGUGAAACAUGACGAUAAAAUUCUAAUAAAUAAAUAUUGGGUAACAGUUCA